rnacentral:rRNA from 1 species
GACGAACGCUGGCGGCGUGCUUAACACAUGCAAGUCGAACGGAAAGGCCCCUUUGGGGGUACUCGAGUGGCGAACGGGGGAGUAACACGUGAGUAACCUGCCCUUGACUUCGGGAUAACUUCAGGAAACUGGGGCUAAUACCGGAUAGGAAUCCUUGCUGCAUGGUGGGGGUUGGAAAGCUUCGGCGGUUUUGGAUGGACUUGCGGCUUAUCAGCUUGUUGGUGGGGUAGUGGCUUACCAAGGCUUUGACGGGUAGCCGGCCUGAGAGGGCGACCGGCCACAUUGGGACUGAGAUUCGGCCCAGACUCCUACGGGAGGCAGCAGUGGGGAAUAUUGCACAAUGGGCGGAAGCCUGAUGCAGCAACGCCGCGUGCGGGAUGACGGCCUUCGGGUUGUAAACCGCUUUCAGCAGGGGCGAAGCUUGUGGUGACGGUACCUGCAGAAGAAGCACCGGCUAACUACGUG